UACGGAGGGUGCAAGCGUUAUCCGGAUUCACUGGGUUUAAAGGGUGUGUAGGCGGGCAGUUAAGUCAGUGGUGAAAUCUCCGGGCUCAACCCGGAAACUGCCAUUGAUACUAUUAGUCUUGAAUUUUGUUGAGGUAGGCGGAAUAAGUCAUGUAGCGGUGAAAUGCAUAGAUAUGACUUAGAACACCGAUUGCGAAGGCAGCUUACUAAGCAAAUAUUGACGCUGAGGCACGAAAGCGUGGGGAUCAAACAGG
rnacentral:rRNA from 1 species